GAGGAAUGGAUGUGAAUAGGCAUUUCUGAAGUAUCUAUUUCGGGAUUGCAGUGAUAUGCAUUGUGAAAUUUGCUUAUUGAACAGAUCUCUAUGUGAUAUUAUUAAUACAAUGAUGGAAUAACAACAGCAGGCAGAAGUUGCAAAUUUGAGCAGUACCAUCAGAAACAUGGUACUUCAAGAGGAACCUCCCAACGGUCUGCCCACCUUCCCAUUUGUAGUCAGAGAAGAAAUAAAGGAAUGUGAACCUGG